rnacentral:snRNA from 1 species
CUUUGUUGGCUUUGGAAU